UAUCCACAUUGUGAACCAACAUAAUCGAGUUUCAAAAAUUUUUGCCUUUCGUCCACGUAGUAAUUAGGUGGCUUGUACGUAGCAGCUUUAUCUCUAUGUGAGUUGUUUUUUGCGGCCAUUGGUCAUUUAACACUUGUUUCUUUCUCAACAUUCCCUCCACAUGCAACUGGGGCUUAAAAUUAAAAAAAAAAAAAAUGCAACUGGGGCCCAUAUACACACCAUCUGAGUAUAUCGCUUAAACUAACAGAAUGGUUUCCACUUAAAUACCAAUAUUGGAGUAGUAUUCUCUUUGAGUUGCAUAUACAGAACCAAAACUUAAAUAUGUGGAAAGCUUCAGUGAGAGGAAAGUUAGCAGCUGCCUUAUAUUAAUUUCUUCAUCAAUCUGAAGCUAUCACCUUUGAGGGGAAUAUAGCAUCAAAUUGACAUUGUUCCGGGCUCUAAACUUCCAAAUCAAGCUACAUAUAGGAGCACCCCGGAAGCUACAACAAAGUUGCAAAAGCAAGUUGACGAUCUACUUAAGAUGGAGCUAGUGAGAGAAAGCUUAAGUCGUUGUGUCAUGCUCGUGAUCCUAGUGCCAAAGAAGGAUGGAAUUUGGCUAAUGUGUGUUGAUCAUAUAACUAUAACCAAAAUCAUACUAAAGUAUCGUCACCCUAUAACUAAGAUUAAUAGUUUACUUGAUAAGUCGAGUUGUUCUAAUCUCUUCAAAAAAUUGACUUGACAAGUGGAACCUCGUGAUGAGUGGAAAAUUGCCUUCAAAAUAAAAUUUGAUAUGUAUAAAAAGUUGGUGAUGUAUUUUUGACUUUGUAGUGUACCUUGCACUUUUAUUCGUCUUAUGAACCAUGUGAUGAAACUUUUUAUUGGCUAGUUUGUUAUUGUGCACCUUGAUGAUAUUUUGAUGUAUUCUAGAUCAAUUGCAGAA